GUGUUAGCUUUGGAAUGAAUUAUUAAAACUGUAACAACAAUAACAGAAGAUUAGUAUUGCCUGUGUGCAAAGAUGACAUGCAAAUUUGUGUAGAGGUCCAUAUUUUA
rnacentral:snRNA from 1 species